rnacentral:misc_RNA from 1 species
GAUGAAGAACGCAGCGAAAUGCGAUAAGUAGUGUGAAUUGCAGAAUUCCGUGAAUCAUCGAGUCUUUGAACGCACAUUGCGCCCUCUGGUAUUCCGGAGGGCAUGCCUGUCCGAGCGUCAUUGCUGCCCUCAAGCACGGCUUGUGUGUUGGGCCCCGCCCCCCGAUCCCGGGGGGCGGGCCCGAAAGGCAGCGGCGGCACCGCGUCCGGUCCUCGAGCGUAUGGGGCUUUGUCACCCGCUCUGUAGGCCCGGCCGGCGCCUGCCGAUCAACCAAACUUUUUUCCAGGUUGACCUCGGAUCAGGUAGGGAUACCCGCUGAACUUAAGCAUAUCAAUAAGCGGAGGA